UGGGGAAUAUUGCACAAUGGGCGAAAGCCUGAUGCAGCAACGCCGCGUGAGGGAUGACGGCCUUCGGGUUGUAAACCUCUUUUAGCAGGGAAGAAGCGAGAGUGACGGUACCUGCAGAAAAAGCGCCGGCUAACUACGUGCCAGCAGCCGCGGUAAUACGUAGGGCGCAAGCGUUAUCCGGAAUUAUUGGGCGUAAAGAGCUCGUAGGCGGUUUGUCGCGUCUGCUGUGAAAUCCCGAGGCUCAACCUCGGGCCUGCAGUGGGUACGGGCAGAAUAGAGUGCGGUAGGGGAGAUUGGAAUUCCUGGUGUAGCGGUGGAAUGCGCAGAUAUCAGGAGGAACACCGAUGGCGAAGGCAGAUCUCUGGGCCGUAACUGACGCUGAGGAGCGAAAGGGUGGGGAGCAAACAGG
rnacentral:rRNA from 1 species